rnacentral:rRNA from 1 species
AUGCUUCUCCUAAAGACUAAGCCAUGCAUGCCCUGAAUAAGAGGAAGCAAUUCUCUCUGAAUCUGCGAACGGCUCCGCAAACCAGUUGUAAACUAGAGCAAGCAAGUCUGGCGGGCUUCGGGCCUCCAGACGGAUAUGGGAUAACCCUGGUAAUUCUGAGGCUAAUACAUGACCGCGAAACCGGGCAGCCCAGCAAUGGGAUGCUCGGGGAUGUGCGAUAUGGCUUGACAAUAACCGGGAAAGGACG